rnacentral:lncRNA from 1 species
AAAAAUGUAGGUAUUUUGAUUGGUUGGACGAACCUAUGAGUGAAAGAGCAAAGAAAGUUAUCAAUGAGUUGAAGAGGGAGAAUUUGAAGCUCAUGAAGUUGAAGGGAAGCUCAAGCUCAUCCAUGGAUGUGGAUAGUGAAAUUGCUAAGCUUUGGGAUGUUUUGCAAGCUAUGAAAGAAGAAUCAAGGAAGAUAAAGGAAGAAAAGUAGAUUAAUUACAUACAUUUUGCUUGGUUCUUGGUUGAUGUUAGCAUAUUUUGCACUAGCUUAGUUUGUCUAUGUAAUUUGGCUAAGUACUAUAUUUUGG